GAUGCAGCCACCUUUUCUUAUUGCUCUGCAAAAAUACCACGCGUGGUAAGAAAGCUGGGGUAAGGUGAUCUCUUGUUUUAGAUGUACCCAUCUUCUGAGCAGAGCACGUCUGGGGCCAGAGUUGAUUUUAGGAGCUGAGGAGCUGCUGUAGGAGUGGAUCUGGAGAUGAUCAGCGUGGUUGGCUGUCCCCUGGCUCUCUGCGUCCUUAGGUCAGCCCAGGAAUGGAGAUGGUUAAAGAACAGAUGGGACCAUCCUGACACCCAGGAAGCUUCCCUGUUCUUCAGCAAGGAAACCCCAUCCUACGUAGGCGGAGGGACGAAGCGUGGACGCUCUUCAAAUAUCGAUGCGGUUGCUUAAUUAGCCUUGGCGAUAGCGGAGCCAUCAGCUCAACAGGUAUUUUAUCAAUUAAUAUUGUUGGCGCUGGAGACGUCGGUCUUCAAAUGGGGUUGGUGUCCUUCCCGCUAGCUCUUUCUCUAGUAAAGGGGAAUAAAUUUUGU